rnacentral:rRNA from 1 species
AUUGAACGCUGGCGGAAUGCUUUACACAUGCAAGUCGAACGGCAGCACGGGGGCAACCCUGGUGGCGAGUGGCGAACGGGUGAGUAAUACAUCGGAACGUGCCCGGUCGUGGGGGAUAACGUAGCGAAAGUUACGCUAAUACCGCAUACGAUCUGAGGAUGAAAGCGGGGGACCUUCGGGCCUCGCGCGAUCGGAGCGGCCGAUGUCAGAUUAGGUAGUUGGUGGGGUAAAGGCCUACCAAGCCGACGAUCUGCAGCUGGUCUGAGAGGACGACCAGCCACACUGGGACUGAGACACGGCCCAGACUCCUACGGGAGGCAGCAGUGGGGAAUUUUGGACAAUGGGCGCAAGCCUGAUCCAGCCAUUCCGCGUGCAGGACGAAGGCCUUCGGGUUGUAAACUGCCUUUGUAUGGAACGAAAAGGCUCUGGCUAAUACCUGGGGCUCAUGACGGUACCGUAAGAAUAAGCACCGGCUAACUACGUG